CCUACGGGUGGCAGCAGUGAGGAAUAUUGGUCAAUGGCCGUAAGGCUGAACCAGCCAAGUAGCGUGAGGGAUGACUGCCCUAUGGGUUGUACACCUCUUUUAUGCGUGUAUAAAGGUUUCCACGUGUGGAUGUUUGCAUGUACCACAUGAAUAAGGACCGGCUAAUUCCGUGCCAGCAGCCGCGGUAAUACGGAAGGUCCGGGCGUUAUCCGGAUUUAUUGGGUUUAAAGGGAGCGUAGGCCGGUCUUUAAGCGUGCCGUGAAAUUUUGUGGCUCAACCAUGAGAGUGCGGCGCGAACUGGAGAUCUUGAGUGCGCGGAAGGCAGGCGGAAUUCGUGGUGUAGCGGUGAAAUGCUUAGAUAUCACGAAGAACCCCGAUUGCGAAGGCAGCCUGCCGAAGCGCUACUGACGCUGAAGCUCGAAAGUGUGGGUAUCGAACAGGAUUAGAUACCCCUGUAGUC
rnacentral:rRNA from 1 species